rnacentral:misc_RNA from 1 species
GAUGAAGAACGUAGCGAAAUGCGAUAAGUAAUGUGAAUUGCAGAAUUCAGUGAAUCAUCGAAUCUUUGAACGCACAUUGCGCCCCCUGGUAUUCCGGGGGGCAUGCCUGUCCGAGCGUCAUUACAACCCUCAAGCUCAGCUUGGUGUUGGGCCCCGCCGCCCCGGCGGGCCCUAAAGUCAGUGGCGGUGCCGUCCGGCUCGGAGCGUAGUAAUUCUUCUCGCUCUGGAGGUCCGGUCGUGUGCUCGCCAGCAACCCCCAAUUUUUUUCAGGUUGACCUCGGAUCAGGUAGGGAUACCCGCUGAACUUAAGCAUAUCAAUAAGCGGAGGA